rnacentral:misc_RNA from 1 species
GCACCAUGUACUCAAUCCCCACUUCAUCUCUUGAGCCAGGUUGCUCGGUUCCAGGCCAGCCCGAGCUCAAUCCUCGCCCCCUCGAAGACUCAUUUCGUAGCAUCUCAUUCUCCAAGUCAAUUGAUCAUUCAACUGAGUUCAGCAGUUCCCGCUUCUCCGAUGUUGCAGGAAUGCUUGUUGACGAAGAUGGCGAUGUGAAGGAUGGACCCUUGAUUCUCCGGAACAAGGCACCUAGAUGGCACGAGCAGUUGCAGUGUUGGUGUCUCAAUUUUCGUGGGAGGGUGACAGUUGCAUCUGUAAAGA